rnacentral:rRNA from 1 species
UUGCCCCUACGGGACGCAGCAGUGGGGAAUAUUGCACAAUGGGGGAAACCCUGAUGCAGCGACGCCGCGUGAGUGAAGAAGUAUUUCGGUAUGUAAAGCUCUGUCAGCAGGGAAGAAAAUGACGGUACCUGACCAAGAAGCCCCGGCUAACUACGUGCCAGCAGCCGCGGUAAUACGUAGGGGGCAAGCGUUAUCCGGAUUUACUGGGUGUAAAGGGAGCGUAGACGGCAGGGCAAGUCUGGAGUGAAAGGCGGGGGCUCAACCCCCGGACUGCUCUGGAAACUGUACGGCUGGAGUGCAGGGGG